rnacentral:rRNA from 1 species
GUCAACGACCAUACCACAAUGAACACACCGGUUCUCGUCCGGUCACCGAAGUUAACCAUUGUCGGGCGCGGUUAGAACUUGGAUGGGGGACCGCUUGGGAACACCGCGUGUUGUUGGCAACA